rnacentral:rRNA from 1 species
UACGAAGGGGGCUAGCGUUGUUCGGAAUUACUGGGCGUAAAGCGCGCGCAGGCGGUCUUCCAAGCCAGUGGUGAAAGCCCGGAGCUCAACUCCGGAACUGCCAUUGAAACUGUGAGACUUGAGUACGAGAGAGGUGAGUGGAAUUCCCAGUGUAGAGGUGAAAUUCGUAGAUAUUGGGAAGAACACCGGUGGCGAAGGCGGCUCACUGGACCACAACUGACGCUGAGGCGCGAAAGCUAGGGGAGCAAACAGG